UACGUAGGGGCAAGCGUUGUUCGGAAUUACUGGGCGUAAAGGGCGCGUAGGCGCCUUCUAAGUCGAACGUGAAAUCCCCGGGCUCAACCCGGGAACUGCGUCCGAUACUGGAAGGCUUGAAUCCGGGAGAGGGAUGUGGAAUUCCAGGUGUAGCGGUGAAAUGCGUAGAUAUCUGGAGGAACACCGGUGGCGAAGGCGACAUCCUGGACCGGUAUUGACGCUGAGGCGCGAAGCC
rnacentral:rRNA from 1 species